rnacentral:rRNA from 1 species
CCGGCGACCGGCGCACGGGUGAGUAACACGUAUGGAACCUGCCCGCAGCAGGGGGAUAAGCGGAAGAAAUUCCGUCUAAUACCGCGUAACAACGUUGGGAGGCAUCUCCCGAUGUUUAAAAAUUUAUCGGCUGCGGAUGGCCAUGCGGCGCAUUAGCUAGUCGGCGGGGUAACGGCCCACCGAGGCGACGAUGCGUAGGGGUUCUGAGAGGAAGGUCCCCCACACUGGUACUGAGACACGGACCAGACUCCUACGGGAGGCAGCAG